UACAGAGGGCGCAAGCGUUGUUCGGAUUCACUGGGCGUAAAGGGUGCGUAGGCGGUCGGGUAAGUCUGGCGUGAAAUCUCCAAGCCUAACUUGGAAACUGCGUUGGAUACUAUCCGGCUCGAGGAAUGGAGGGGAGACUGGAAUACUUGGUGUAGCAGUGAAAUGCGUAGAUAUCAAGUGGAACACCAGUGGCGAAGGCGAGUCUCUGGACAUUUCCUGACGCUGAGGCACGAAAGCCAGGGGAGCAAACGGG
rnacentral:rRNA from 1 species